GACGAACGCUGGCGGCGUGCCUAAUACAUGCAAGUCGAACGCUGAAGGAGGAGCUUGCUUCUCUGGAUGAGUUGCGAACGGGUGAGUAACGCGUAGGUAACCUGCCUUGUAGUGGGGGAUAACUAUUGGAAACGAUAGCUAAUACCGCAUAAUAGUAGAUGUUGCAUGACAUUUGCUUAAAAGUUGCAAUUGCAUCACUACCAGAUGGACCUGCGUUGUAUUAGCUAGUUGGUGGGGUAACGGCUCACCAAGGCGACGAUACAUAGCCGACCUGAGAGGGGGAUCGGCCACACUGGGACUGGGACACGGCCCAGACUCCUUCGGGGAGCAACAGUAGGGAAUCUUUGGCAAUGGGCGGAAAUCUGACCGAACAACGCCGCGGUAGUGAAGAAAGUUUUCGGAGCGUAAAGCUCUGUUGUAAGAGAAGAACGAGUGUGAGAGUGGAAAGUUCACGCUGUGACGGUAUCUUACCAGAAAGGAACGGCUAACUACGUG
rnacentral:rRNA from 1 species